rnacentral:rRNA from 1 species
AUUCCAGCUCCAAUAGCGUAUAUUAAAGUUGUUGCAGUUAAAAAGCUCGUAGUUGGACUUCUGGGCCGUUUUGUUGGUCUGCCGCAAGGCUGCACCAGCGGGAUGGCCCAUCCUCUCGAAGGCUGGGGGUGCUCUUAACUGGGUGCUUUCAGAACUCGGGAUCUUUACUUUGAAAAAAUUAGAGUGUUCAAAGCAGGCUUACGCUUGAAUACAUUAGCAUGGAAUAAUGGAAUAGGACUUUGGUUCUAUUUCGUUGGUUUCUAGAACUGAAGUAAUGAUUAAUAGGGAUAGUUGGGGGCAUUAGUAUUUAAUUGUCAGAGGUGAAAUUCUUGGAUUUAUGAAAGACUAACUUCUGCGAAAGCAUUUGCCAAGGAUGUUUUCAUCG